CUUAGUUGCGGACGGGUAGUAACGCGUGGGGAACCUGCCCUGUACCGGGGGAUAGCAGCCGUAAACGGCUGAUAAUACCGCAUAAGCGCACGAAUGUCGCAUGACAUGGUGUGAAAAACUCCGGUGGUAUAGGAUGGACCCGCGUCUGGUUAGCCUGUUGGUGGGGUAAAAGCCUACCAAAGCGAAGAUCAGUAGCCGAGUUGAGAGACUGACCGUCCACAUUGGGACUGAGACACGGCCCAGACUCCUACGGGAGGCAGCAGGC
rnacentral:rRNA from 1 species